AAUUUUCUGAGAUUAUAUUAAUUUUUAAAAUGAACUUAUACUAUUGUUGAAAAUAACAAUAUUUUCUUUAAGACUAAAAGACCCUAGAAUCUUUAAUAAUUAAUUUUUAUAUUUAUUUGAUUGGGGUAAUAUAACUUUUUAAAUUAGUUUAUA
rnacentral:rRNA from 1 species